GAUGAACGCUAGCGGCAGGCUUAAUACAUGCAAGUCGAACGGUAAGUUUGGUAGCAAUAUCAAACCAAGAGUGACGUACGGGUGCGUAACACGUAUGCAACCUACCUUGUACAGGAGUAUAGCUCGGGGAAACUCGAAUUAACCCUCCAUGAGAUCAUAGAAUGGCAUCAUUUAGUGAUUAAACUCAGGUGGUACAAGAUGGGCAUGCGUCUGA
rnacentral:rRNA from 1 species